rnacentral:lncRNA from 1 species
GGUUAUUGAGAAAGUAUUGGAAGGCUGCUUUAAGCAUAUUCCUGUCUUUUUUCUUUCUAAUUUUAAAAGAAGAUUUUGUCAUGUUAUUUUCAACCAGAUAGUAAAAUUCACGAGGGUGAUGAAUGUUUUCUUUCUCCUUCAGUGAUCCCAGUUCUUCAUUGGAUUUCACCGAAGAUGGACAUAUGGUCUUGCAGCAAUCACCCCAUCAGUCUGAAAGAUGGUUGUAAGGAAUGAACUGGAUAAUCUCGAGACAAAAGGCAAGAACAGUUUCCUCUUCCUUCUGGCAAGAGUCCGUGUGGACCAUGAAAUGGAAACUGAAUUCUGAGGAUGGGACCCUGGGGACAUCACGCCAGAGCUGGACUGCUCGCCUCAGACUUUAUUUAUGGAAGAGAGAUGACCUGUGUCUUGUUUAA